AUGGAUGAGGUCACAAGGGAUAUACAAGGAGAUAUCCCAUGGUGUAUGCUCUUUGCGGAUGAUGUGGUGCUAGUUGACGAUAGUCGGGCGGGGGUAAAUAGGAAGUUAGAGUUUUGGAGACAAACCUUGGAAUCGAAAGGGUUUAGGCUUAAUAGAACUAAAACCGAGUACAUGAUGUGCGGUUUCAGUACUACUAGGUGUGAGGAGGAGGAGGUUAGCCUUGAUGGCCAGGUGGUACCUCGGAAGGACACCUUUCGGUAUUUGGGGUCAAUGUUGCAGGAGGAUGGGGGUAUUGAUGAAGAUGUGAACCAUCGAAUCAAAGCCGGAUGGAUGAAGUGGCGCCAAGCUUCUGGCAUUCUCUGUGACAAGAGAGUGCCCCAAAAGCUAAAAGGCAAGUUCUACAGGACGGCGGUUCGACCCGCAAUGUUGUAUGGCGCGGAGUGUUGGCCGACUAAAAGGCGACAUGUUCAACAGUUAGGUGUGGCAGAGAUGCGUAUGUUGAGAUGGAUGUGUGGCCACACGGGGAAGGAUCGAGUCUGGAAUGAUGAUAUACGAGAUAGAGUUGGGGUAGCACCAAUUGAGGAGAAGCUUGUCCAACAUCGUCUGAGAUGGUUUGGGCAUAUUCAGCGCAGGCCUCCAGAAGCUCCAGUGCAUAGCGGACGGCUAAAGCGCGCGGAGAAUGUCAAGAGAGGGCGGGGUCGACCGAAUUUGACAUGGGAGGAGUCCGUUAAGAGAGACCUGAAGGAUUGGAGUAUCGACAAAGAGCUAGCUAUGGACAGGGGUGCGUGGAAGCUUGCUAUCCAUGUGCCAGAGCCAUGA
rnacentral:rRNA from 1 species